AUUAUAAAGCACCCACUAGAUAGCUCACCUCUUGGUAACCGAAAGACGUAUCAACAACUAGAUGGCGCUACUCGAAAACCGUAUCGAGAUUUCUCAUUCUCUCUCUGACUUGCGAGGAGGUAGGAGUAGUGUCAGGGCCGAACUUACCCUAUAGGUGUAUUAUCUGUGACAAGUGUUGUGACAAGUUAUAGCAAAAU
rnacentral:lncRNA from 1 species